GACGAACGCUGGCGGUGUGCUUAACACAUGCAAGUCGAACGGAAAGGCCCUGCUUUUGUGGGGUGCUCGAGUGGCGAACGGGUGAGUAACACGUGAGUAACCUGCCCUUGACUUUGGGAUAACUUCAGGAAACUGGGGCUAAUACCGGAUAGGAGCUCCUGCUGCAUGGUGGGGGUUGGAAAGUUUCGGCGGUUGGGGAUGGACUCGCGGCUUAUCAGCUUGUUGGUGGGGUAGUGGCUUACCAAGGCUUUGACGGGUAGCCGGCCUGAGAGGGUGACCGGCCACAUUGGGACUGAGAUACGGCCCAGACUCCCACGGGAGGCAGCAGUGGGGAAUAUUGCACAAUGGGCGGAAGCCUGAUGCAGCAACGCCGCGUGCGGGAUGACGGCCUUCGGGUUGUAAACCGCUUUCGCCUGUGACGAAGCGUGAGUGACGGUAAUGGGUAAAGAAGCACCGGCUAACUACGUG
rnacentral:rRNA from 1 species